CGGAGCGUAGCUCAGCUUGGUAGAGCGCUGCCUUCGGGAGGCAGAGGUCGUAGGUUCGAAUCCUGUCGCUCCGACCA
rnacentral:tRNA from 12 species